GACGAACGCUGGCGGCGUGCUUAACACAUGCAAGUCGAACGGAAAGGCCCUGCUUUUGUGGGGUGCUCGAGUGGCGAACGGGUGAGUAACACGUGAGUAACCUGCCCUUGACUUUGGGAUAACUUCAGGAAACUGGGGCUAAUACCGGAUAGGAGCUCCUGCUGCAUGGUGGGGGUUGGAAAGUUUCGGCGGAUGGGGAUGGACUCGCGGCUUAUCAGCUUGUUGGUGGGGUAGUGGCUUACCCAGGCUUUGACGGGUAGCCGGCCUGAGAGGGUGACCGGCCACAUUGGGACUGAGAUACGGCCCAGACUCCUACGGGAGGCAGCAGUGGGGAAUAUUGCACAAUGGGCGGAAGCCUGAUGCAGCAACGCCGCGUGCGGGAUGACGGCCUUCGGGUUGUAAACCGCUUUCGCCUGUGACGAAGCGUGAGUGACGGUAAUGGGUAAAGAAGCACCGGCUAACUACGUG
rnacentral:rRNA from 1 species